UACGAAGGGAGCUAGCGUUGUUCGGAAUCACUGGGCGUAAAGCGCACGUAGGCGGAUUUGUCAGUCAGGGGUGAAAUCCCGGGGCUCAACCUCGGAACUGCCUUUGAUACAGCAAGUCUUGAGUUCGAGAGAGGUGGGUGGAAUUCCUAGUGUAGAGGUGAAAUGCGCAGAUAUCAGGAAGAACACCCGUGGCUAAGGCGGCUCUCUAGUACGGUACUGACGCUGAGACGCGAAGGCGUGGGGAGCGAACGGG
rnacentral:rRNA from 1 species